rnacentral:rRNA from 1 species
ACAUGCCUACAACAUAGCGUUAAUGCAUCAGAUUCCAUUAUAACUCCGUAGUUAAUCGCGCUCGGGCUAGAGUAGUACUGGGAUGGGUGACCUCCCGGGAAGUCCUAGUGUUUUACAUGCC